rnacentral:misc_RNA from 1 species
GUAGGUGAACCUGCGGAAGGAUCAUUAAAGAGUAAGGGUCUAACCGGCCCGAACCUCCAACCCUUUGUUGUUUAAAAAACACCUUGUUGCUUUGGCGGGACCGCCGACCUCGCGUCGGCUGCCGGUCUCAGGCCCGGCAUGCGCCCGCCAGAGUCAAACCAAACUCUUGUUUUAACCAGUCGUCUGAGUAAAAAAGUUAAUAAAUUAAAACUUUCAACAACGGAUCUCUUGGUUCUGGCAUCGAUGAAGA